rnacentral:lncRNA from 1 species
UAAGGCAGGAAGUCAUGGUCCCUGCUCAAAGUCUGAGGAUCUAACUAGACCAACUGCAUGGCUCAGUGGAAGUUUCGGGUAGACAUGCUUGCAGAUGAAGAAACUGACCAGUUAAUCAACUAGCUCAAGGUCAUCCAGCUGGCAAAUGGCAGAGCCAGGACUCGAAUCCAGGCAUUCUGGCUCCAGUACUCAAAAACUGCACAAUAAUCUGCGUCACUCCAAAAUAGGAAAGGAUGACAAAUGUUGCAGGGCCGUCCAGGAAGCUGAGGAUUGAAAAGCGCCUACUGGAUUAGGCACUACGGCCACUGUGAACUCAGCAAGAACUCGCUGCAGUCAACAGUAGGUGCUAAUGAACUGCUCAACAUUAUCAGUGCCUAGGCUCAGCUCUUUUGCGCCAGCAGAGUGCCAUAAGCACGGCCCCUCCCAGCCCCUGCUUACAUUGUCCUCCUCCUCCCACUCCUGCUCCAGACUUGUGUCAGAAAGAGGAGACUCACUCCCUAACUGUAGUCGGGAAAGACAAGACCUACGGCUCCAGCUUCCCAAGGGGGUGAAGAGAUGUGUGGGGUGCCUCUUCAUAACUCAGCAAUUGCACCCAGGCACAGAUUUACACACAUUUGGAGCUCAACUCAAUAUCUAUGUCCAGCUUAGUCUCAGCAAAUCUUCAAGCAUUCACAGCUGUCUUCAGGUGCGCAGGGGAUUACUGCGGAGAGAUGUUGAUCGGCUGUUCUCCAUGUCUCCUGUGGGCAGAACAAAAGGAAAGAGGCUUAAAUGUCAGCAAGGGAUUUAAAUAACCCAGCUGCCCUGUAAAGAAGACAAGGCUGUCCAGCUGUUGAGAGAGGCCACAUGUAGAGAGAAGCCUUGGAGGUUGAGAGGCCAUGGGGAGAACAGAAGCACUUCAGCUAAGAGCCAGGACCAAAGUAGUAAAUAGAGCCAUCUGAACCGUCCCAGGAGACACCACAUAGGACAAAGAUGAGCUGAACCUGCGG